rnacentral:rRNA from 1 species
ACGCUGGCGGCAGGCUUAACACAUGCAAGUCGAACGGUAGCAGGAGAAAGCUUGCUUUCUUGCUGACGAGUGGCGGACGGGUGAGUAAUGCUUGGGAAUCUGGCUUAUGGAGGGGGAUAACUACGGGAAACUGUAGCUAAUACCGCGUAGAAUCGGAAGAUGAAAGUGCGGGACCGUAAGGCCGCAUGCCAUGAGAUGAGCCCAAGUGGGAUUAGGUAGUUGGUGGGGUAAAGGCCUACCAAGCCUGCGAUCUCUAGCUGGUCUGAGAGGAUGGCCAGCCACACUGGAACUGAGACACGGUCCAGACUCCUACGGGAGGCAGCAGUGGGGAAUAUUGCGCAAUGGGGGGAACCCUGACGCAGCCAUGCCGCGUGAAUGAAGAAGGCCUUCGGGUUGUAAAGUUCUUUCGGUAUUGAGGAAGGUUGAUGUGUUAAUAGUACAUCAAAUUGACGUUAAAUACAGAAGAAGCACCGGCUAACUCCGUGCCAGCAGCCGCGGUAAUACGGAGGGUGCGAGCGUUAAUCGGAAUAACUGGGCGUAAAGGGCACGCAGGCGGUUAUUUAAGUGAGGUGUGAAAGCCCCGGGCUUAACCUGGGAAUUGCAUUUCAGACUGGGUAACUAGAGUACUUUAGGGAGGGGUAGAAUUCCACGUGUAGCGGUGAAAUGCGUAGAGAUGUGGAGGAAUACCGAAGGCGAAGGCAGCCCCUUGGGAAUGUACUGACGCUCAUGUGCGAAAGCGUGGGGAGCAAACAGGAUUAGAUACCCUGGUAGUCCACGCUGUAAACGCUGUCGAUUUGGGGAUUGGGCUUAAAGCUUGGUGCCCGUAGCUAACGUGAUAAAUCGACCGCCUGGGGAGUACGGCCGCAAGGUUAAAACUCAAAUGAAUUGACGGGGGCCCGCACAAGCGGUGGAGCAUGUG